rnacentral:lncRNA from 1 species
GGGAAGGUGGCUUUGAGUGCAAGUGGGAGAUUGUUGGAAGUAUGCCCACAAAGACACUCAUUUGAUGUAAUAGCUUUUUGGAAUACUUAAUGUAUUAAACUUUUAUAUGUUUAAUGAAGGGCAAAUCUUAUUGUUAAUCACUAUUUAUUGUAUCAUGUGUUUAAGCAAUAAGAGAAUCCAAGGAAUGUAUUUGUUCUACGAGAUAAGUGAUCUAAGUGAGUUAGAUUAUCGAGACCUUUCUCUUAUGUUCAUUCCUAAAA